rnacentral:tRNA from 1 species
GUGCGGGUGGUGUAGGGCGAACAUCGCUGCCCGGAAAGCAGACGAUGCGGGUUCGAGCCCCGCCUAGCGCA